CAAAGUGUAGCUUACCCUAACCAAGCACCCAGCUUACAAUUGGAAGACGUCUCUUAAUAGACCACCUUGA
rnacentral:tRNA from 1 species